GACGAACGCUGGCGGCGUGCUUAACACAUGCAAGUCGAACGGGCCCGCUCUCUUUUUUGGGGGUGGGUUGCGUGGCGAACGGGUGAGUAUCACGUGAGUAACCUGCCCCCUGCUCCUGGAUAACUGCUUGAAAGGGCGGCUAAUACGGGGUGUGCCGGCUGGUCCGCAUGGGCCUGGUCGGGAUAGUUUCAUCUUCGGGUGUUUCGGUGGGGGAUGGGCUCGCGGCCUAUCAGCUUGUUGGUGGGGUGAUGGCCCACCAAGGCGGUGACGGGUAGCCGGCCUGAGAGGGUGGGCGGCCACACUGGGACUGAGACACGGCCCAGACGCCGGCGGGAGGCAGCAGUGGGGGGUAUUGCACAAUGGGCGGAAGCCUGAUGCAGCGACGGCGCGUGAGGGAUGGAGGCCUUCGGGUUGUGAACCUCUUUCUCCGGUGGUGAAGGCCCUGUCCGUUGCGGCGGGGUUGACGGUAGCCGGGGAUGAAGCGCCGGCUAACUACGUG
rnacentral:rRNA from 1 species